CCAACCUUCUUGUUGCUUCUCAA
rnacentral:siRNA from 1 species